rnacentral:misc_RNA from 1 species
GAUGAAGAACGUAGCGAAAUGCGAUAAGUAAUGUGAAUUGCAGAAUUCAGUGAAUCAUCGAAUCUUUGAACGCACAUUGCGCCCGCCAGUAUUCUGGCGGGCAUGCCUGUCCGAGCGUCAUUUCAACCCUCGAGCCCCCCCCCGGGGGGUCGGCGUUGGGGAUCGGCUCACGCUGCCGGCCCCGAAAUCCAGUGGCGGUCCCGCCGCAGCCUCCCCUGCGCAGUAAGCUUUGCACACUCGCAACGGGAGCGCGGCGCGCCCACGGCCGUAAAACACCCCGAAAACUUCUCCAAAGGUUGACCUCGGAUCAGGUAGGAAUACCCGCUGAACUUAAGCAUAUCAAUAAGCGGAGGA